GACGAACGCUGGCGGCGUGCUUAACACAUGCAAGUCGAACGGAAAGGCCCUGCUUUUGUGGGGUGCUCGAGUGGCGAACGGGUGAGUAACACGUGAGUAACCUGCCCUUGACUUUGGGAUAACUUCAGGAAACUGGGGCUAAUACCGGAUAGGAGCUCCUGCUGCAUGGUGGGGGUUGGAAAGUUUCGGCGGUUGGGGAUGGACUCGCGGCUUAUCAGCUUGUUGGUGGGGUAGUGGCUUACCAAGGCUUUGAUGGGUAGCCGGCCUGAGAGGGUGACCGGCCACAUUGGGACUGAGAUACGGCCCAGACUCCUACGGGAGGCAGCAGUGGGGAAUAUUGCACAAUGGGCGGAAGCCUGAUGCAGCAACGCCGCGUGCGGGAUGACGGCCUUCGGGUUGUAAACCGCUUUCGCCUGUGACGAAGCGUGAGUGACGGUAAUGAGUAAAGAAGCACCGGCUAACUACGUG
rnacentral:rRNA from 1 species